CGGUUUUUGGUUUUCGGUUUUUCGGUUUCGGUUCGGUUUUAGUUUUAGGCUAAAUUCAGUUUUUCGGGGUCGGUUCGGUUAGGGUGAAAAAUCAAACCGAAACCCGAAUGCACACCCCUAAUUAAGACGAGUGCAAGGAGGUUUUUAUUAGCAAGUGCAAAAUUAGAUACGGGGAUUUCAUCAACUAUUAUAAAAAGAAGACGUAGCCCAAUGGUCAAAUUACCAAAAAGGCUGGAAUUUACCCGAGAGUAUUGAAGCUUCCGAGAGGUGCUCGGCAAACCGUAAACAAGGGCUUGAGACUGCGCUUGGCACACAUAGUAAUGGAUGUAUAUCAUUUGCGGAGACAACAGCAAAAGUGGUAAAAAUUAUAGUAUUUCAUUAGUUUGAUUUGUUUGUUGUUUUUAAAUCCUUUUACAUUUUCUUAAUGUCCAAAGAGAAUAAUGGAAAACUUCCCCCAUUUACGGAGUUCUUUCUAAAGACCCACAAGCUAAGGAACGGUGAUUCACAAGGAUGACGUUAUGGCACGGGCUGAAGAACAACAGGCUGAAGGAAUAGAGAACCCGGAUCAUGAAGCCAUCUUCUUGAAGCUUUUUGGGAAGGUGAAGAAGAGAAAACAAAUUUAUGGCGCGGAGCAAGCAACACGCAUAUACUUCCCAUUAGCUACUCACUCAUUUGUUGGUUCUGCACCCGUCAAUGCUAGCCAGCCAGGUCGAUGAACUGCUCGAGCAACGAGUUAAAGAACAUCGUGAUCAAAUGCAACUGCAAAUUGAAAAAGUGCAAGCCAAUUCAGAUAGGAAAAUUGCACUGGUGCGUGAGGAAGUAGCUCAGAGGGAGCAAGCAACAGAUGCGAGAGGAAGCCGCUAAAAGGGGGCAACAGAUGGAAGAUCGAAUGAUGCACCUUCUUAAUGAAAAAAUGGGACAAAUGAAAAAUGUGUAAUUUAGUGUAAUUUUGUAAGACAAUCUUAUUUUUAUAUAUUUUUACUAAACAAUCUUAUCUUUUUAAUGUUA